rnacentral:rRNA from 1 species
UACGGGGGGGGCAAGCGUUGUUCGGAAUUACUGGGCGUAAAGGGCUCGUAGGCGGCCAACUAAGUCAGACGUGAAAUCCCUCGGCUUAACCGGGGAACUGCAUCUGAUACUGGAUGGCUUGAGUUCGGGAGAGGGAUGCAGAAUUCCAGGUGUAGCGGUGAAAUGCGUAGAUAUCUGGAGGAAUACCGGUGGCGAAGGCGGCAUCCUGGACCGGCAUUGACGCUGAGGAGCGAAAGCUAGGGGAGCAAACGGG